CAUUUAUAACCUGCAUUCUUAUGGCUGUAAAUUAAUUUCAUUAUAUAAUUUAUAUAAAAAAGAUAAUAGAUUGAUGCAUGUUAUUAUUUCCUUACCUUCACUAAUUAGGUUAUUACUAAAUGAGAUCAGCUAAAUUCUGAAGCUUUUAAUGGAAAAUUGAUGUAGCUAUUGUGAGCUCUGGAAAUCUUAUUUCUUUGUUCUAUCACUAUAAUAUGUGUAUAAGGAUUCAUCACCAAAACUUGAUAUUUAAGUCAAAUUAAAGGGCAUUUUUACUGUAGUGAUCAACCUUAUACAAUUUAUGAAGAUUUGUUUUUAAAAACAAAGUUCAUAGAGAAAUUAAUGUUUCACCUUUUCCCUUAUAACCAGAUGGCUUCUGGAGGGAAAACUGCUUACAGCUUAUUCACUGGCUUCUCAAUGACUUCAGUGCAAGAUGAAUAAUUUCAGGGGCCACUUUAUCUUGACUAUGCUGUUUAGUAACUAGUGUGAUUGUUUGUAAUGAAAUGAAAAGAGAGACUGAAGAACGUAAAAAAUGAGAAACUAAGGAGGAAACAGGGAGAAGGUUAAUAACUCAUUCUGAAAAUACCUGUAAGAUUUAGCCAUGCCCUAAAGUUUUAAUCGGUUGGGCCACAUUUUAUUCAGAAAUUUAGUGAGGAGCCUAUUAACCACCAAGACUUCAUUUCUUUUCAUAUAUAAUAUUUAUUUGAGAUUUGGGGAUUAUUCUAUAUCUUCUGAUAUGAAAUUAUAAUAAUGUGACUUUCACUACUGUUAGACAAAUACUGAUUGUCUUUCUUCCAGGGAACCUCAAAGAAUUCAAAUAUGCUACUUAGUAUACACACUAAUGUUUGCUCACCCUUUGAGCAUAAGCUCAAAUUUUAUUGUGGCUUAUCUUCUCCAAAAAAUGGGUCGAAAUUUUUGUAGAAUAGACAAAUCAAGAAUGAUGACUUCUUAAGAUGCAGUAUUCAAGUUCAGAAAUCUAUACUCAGAUGACCUUAUGUAGGUCAUCUGCUUCUGAGGUUUAUCUCACCAGUGGUCCCAGAAGGCUGCAUAUGGAACUGACCUGGACUUAAUCUACAAGAUAGAUACCCCCAGCUAACCUGCAAACUCACAGAGUGAUGAGUGAGAAAAUAAUGCUUCUUCUUCUGUGCCUAUGUGAUUUAGUGAUUCUGCUAUGCAACAAAAGUUAAUGUAAUUUUUUAAAGCAGAAGCUAUUGUAAAGAAACUGAGACCAAGAAUGGUUAAGUAAAGCAUCCUAAUUCACAUGAUUAUAGAACAAAAGAACUGGGACUCAAACUAAGGCCCUCUGAUUUCAAUACACAUGUUUUUAACUGUUAUGCCAUGCUGUCUCCAAGUAAGCAUAUUAUUAAUAUUAUUAUCAGGUACAAGAACAUAUUAUGUAGAAAAUGCCAGGGUUGUUCAGUGCUUCUUUUCAACAUUUCUGUUAUUAAUAGUUUAAUUUUCUCACUGUGCUCUUUAAGCUCCCUAUCUAUAAACCUGUUUUAUAUGUGUGUGUCUGUACAUGUACAUGCAAGUAACAACGAAUAAAAUUUUGAAAUUUUAUAAAG
ensembl:lncRNA LINC02293 long intergenic non-protein coding RNA 2293